rnacentral:rRNA from 1 species
UACGUAGGGGGCUAGCGUUGUCCGGAUUUAUUGGGCGUAAAGAGCGUGUAGGCGGCCAGGUAGGUCUGCUGUGAAAACUCGAGGCUCAACCUCGAGACGUCGGCGGAAACCAUCUGGCUAGAGUCCGGAAGAGGAGAGUGGAAUUCCUGGUGUAGCGGUGAAAUGCGCAGAUAUCUGGAGGAACACCGGUGGCGAAGGCGGCAUCCUGGACCGGCAUUGACGCUGAGGCGCGAAAGCUAGGGGAGCAAACGGG